GCGCCUCCCUUGUGGACCAUUGGAUGGCUUUGUGUACUGAUCAAGGGUGGAGAAGUGAGGCACCAAUAAAAAAAGUUGCACGACCCUUCGGAGAAACACCGCAGAAUUUUUUCCGAAGAGUCCUUCUGCGUGAAGCGACUCUUGAAAUUAAUUCUGAUGCUUUCACGUAAGAGAUCAGACUUGGACCAACGUGUAAAGGAUGGAACGGCGUGAGAAUGGGCGUGAGAAAUUGCUUGGAAGGACGCGAGAUGAUUGGAUAAGCAUCUGGUCUCCAAAUAUAAAAGGGGACGCACGUCGGGGUUUAGAUUCAUUCAGAAAAUCCUAAUCUCUUCUUUCUUACACAAGUCUCCCCUCUUGUCUAAUUAUUCCCUUUCUUCCCUUGUUAGGACAAGUCCUAAAAUAGUAAGAAAAAGUCUGAUUUUAGGACAAGGGCUUAGGAAGAGAUAUAAAGAAGACAAGGAGACAAGAAAGGUAGAGAUAGGAAGACUAGGAGGAGAGGAAGGAGGUCCUGAGGUUCUGCUGCUCAAAAAAUUCUCAAAGUGAGAAUUUUGGAGAAGGAAUCAUCUUAAAGAGUUGGUGUCUUGAUCAAAGCCUUGUGUGGAUCACCAUUGGAGGAAUCAUAUUUUUUUAUAUCUUGAAUUUUGUUAUGAAAAUAUUUUAUGUGAUUGUUAAUCAUCAAGGAGAUGCUGGUUAAGGGUUAAAUGUUUAAGAUUUCAUAGUUUAAAUUUUUGAAAUCCAUGCUUCCGCUAUACC
rnacentral:lncRNA from 1 species